UUGGGCCUGAUGGGCUUCUACGAGUCUCCUUCCAUGCAGUCACACACCCCACGACGCUCCUUCGUCUCUCUGACUCUCGUGCACGACCUACCCUCGCCAGCCCUAGGUGUGUGCUGCCGCCGCCAUGUCUUCAUCUCGCAGCCCCUCAACCGCCCUGUAGGAGCGGCGUCUCCGUCUACACCUACUCGCCGUUGUCCUCUUUCUCCGGUAUUCCCUAAAGGUGAAGCAGGGAGCAUCUUUUUCUUGAAUCGGCCAUGAGCUCCAUCCUCAAAUCAGUGGCGCACUACAUCCCUGAAGCAUGUGUCCGAGUUUUCAAGCCAUAUCUGGAGUUCUUGGGCGAGCUGUCGCCAGAUCCACCAUGUCGAGCAACCAGCCGGAGAUGUCAACAGAAGGUGAUCAGUAUAUUAGAGACUUCAAGAAAUUUGAAUCGGAUCGCACAACCUCAUAUCUCUCUCUGUCUCUCUCGGUUGGUUAACAAGUUGCCCUGGUAUUGAUGUUUAUUAAGUUUCUCCCAAUUUUUUUACAUGUUAGGCCAACGAAGGUUUACAAGUAGGUACAAAUCUUCAGAGACUCAUCUUCUUGGUAGGCAAAGAAUAAAUUUAAGUUGGUAUUUCUUAGUUAAUUAAACACCAGGUCCAGAGGUUUGAAACAGAUUCAGAGCACUGAGUUAUGGUGGAGCUGAUGUGUUCUUUCUAUACGUAUUCCCUGGGAGAUGAUCACUUAAUCUGUAAAAUUUGAUGGUGCCCGCUGGGAGUCAUGUAGAUUUGCUUCCUCAUGUGUAGUUAUAAGUUAUCUGUUCACAAACGUUCAGCUGCUGCAGUUGAUGCUUGAUUAUUGCAGUACAUAUGUUAACUCUAAACUGGACAAUUGAUCAGUAAAAACUACUUUUUGUUUGACUGUAUCUUCAGCAACGGUACUCUUAUUUCAUGACGCUAUACUGAACCACUGGUUUGUUGCUCGAGCUGUACUAUAGACUCUUAAUUGUGAUUUUUUUUGAAGCAAAUUUUAUGUCUGCUACUUAUCAUAAAUUUAGAUAAUCGUAGGCUUUUCAGAAGCUUUUGACCCUAGAAAGAAGGCUCUUAAGAAGCUGUACUACAUGAAUAUGCGGAUAUUACAUGUAUGUUUUUCUUUCUUUAAAUUUCCGAUGAUUAUGAAUCAUCCAUGUAAGUAGUUAGCAUGUAUGGAAGACAAUAUAUGUUUUGAUCCGUCGAGAGGUGCUUUUCACUCCCAUUUCAUUUCGGCUUCGCCUCCAAAAUAUUUCAUUGCUUCUUGCACAUCUUGGCUACUUGAUUUCUGUAACUUUUUGCAGUUUCAUUUCAUAUUUUCAUGUAAGAUGUGUGCUUCAUUAAGUUCUUUAUUUUUUGGCUUCAUUACAUUGUAAUCUCAUGUUUUUUGGCCAUUAAAAUAGUAGCCACCGUUUACAAUGGAACUAGACACUCUUUGCUCAUUUUACAAAUGAUUUUACCUGAUAUAAUGUAGUACACAUUUUUGCAGGAACUAUUGUAAGACAUAGCAGAAGAAUAUAAGUCAAUGUAAGAUGCCAUGAGAAACCAAGAGAGGGAAUUAAAAACAUGUGAUAAACAUAAGAAAAAGAGGACGCAGAGCAGUGGUCUCUAAAAGCACUAUUGCAUAGAUAGGAUGAUGUUUACCUACAACCAUCGUAUUUUGUGUAUAUGUGAAUUUCAAUCUCUUCCAACUUACAAGGGGGUCAAGAUAAGAAUAUGAGGGUGCAUAAACAGGAUAACAGGAUAAUAUGCCAUGGUGGACCACACUAGCUUAUCGAAGUGCUCUGAGAUAUUAGCAUAUGCCUGAGCUUUGCCUCGUAUGAAGUCCAUCACAAUUGAAAAUAGUUCAGUUUUUUUUAACUUACAGGCUUACGGCUACUAACUUUAUCUUAUCUGCUCCAUUUUCUGGCAAACUAGGUUCAGAAAGGCAUGAUGUUGUCCGUUGUGUAUUCUGUGGUGGAUGGAGUAGCACGACUUCGAUUUCUUUGCAUGCCAAAGAAAAAAAGAAUUGCACAUUUUCAAAACUUGAGACAUGGAGCUUGCGGAAGACUUUUCAAUUUGUAUUCAACCCAUGACACAGUAUCAGCAUGGACAUUUUAGCAAUAAGUAUUUCUCUUAAAUAUACUCCUUUGUUGGUUUGCAGUUAUAAUGUGGAGGGUAUUUUCCUCUGAUGCAAACCAUACAUUGUUAACACAUGUAUAUCAUGUGCCAAUUGUGAUUAUUUAUCCAUUUAUUUAUUUA